AGAGUUUGAUCCUGGCUCAGGACGAACGCUGGCGGCGUGCUUAACACAUGCAAGUCGAACGGAGCACCCUUGAUUGAGGUUUCGGCCAAAUGAUAGGAAUGCUUAGUGGCGGACUGGUGAGUAACGCGUGAGGAACCUGCCUUUCAGAGGGGGACAACAGUUGGAAACGACUGCUAAUACCGCAUGACGCAUUUUGAUCGCAUGGUCGAAAUGCCAAAGAUUUAUCGCUGAAAGAUGGCCUCGCGUCUGAUUAGCUAGUUGGUGAGGUAACGGCCCACCAAGGCGACGAUCAGUAGCCGGACUGAGAGGUUGACCGGCCACAUUGGGACUGAGAUACGGCCCAGACUCCUACGGGAGGCAGCAGUGGGGAAUAUUGGGCAAUGGGCGCAAGCCUGACCCAGCAACGCCGCGUGAAGGAAGAAGGCUUUCGGGUUGUAAACUUCUUUUAAGAGGGAAGAGCAGAAGACGGUACCUCUAGAAUAAGCCACGGCUAACUACGUGCCAGCAGCCGCGGUAAUACGUAGGUGGCAAGCGUUGUCCGGAUUUACUGGGUGUAAAGGGCGUGCAGCCGGGUCUGCAAGUCAGAUGUGAAAUCCAUGGGCUCAACCCAUGAACUGCAUUUGAAACUGUAGAUCUUGAGUGUCGGAGGGGCAAUCGGAAUUCCUAGUGUAGCGGUGAAAUGCGUAGAUAUUAGGAGGAACACCAGUGGCGAAGGCGGAUUGCUGGACGAUAACUGACGGUGAGGCGCGAAAGUGUGGGGAGCAAACAGGAUUAGAUACCCUGGUAGUCCACACUGUAAACGAUGAAUACUAGGUGUGCGGGGACUGACCCCCUGCGUGCCGCAGUAAACACAAUAAGUAUUCCACCUGGGGAGUACGAUCGCAAGGUUGAAACUCAAAGGAAUUGACGGGGGCCCGCACAAGCGGUGGAUUAUGUGGUUUAAUUCGAAGCAACGCGAAGAACCUUACCAGGGUUUGACAUCCUGCUAACGAAGUAGAGAUACAUUAGGUGCCCUUCGGGGAAAGCAGAGACAGGUGGUGCAUGGUUGUCGUCAGCUCGUGUCGUGAGAUGUUGGGUUAAGUCCCGCAACGAGCGCAACCC
rnacentral:rRNA from 1 species